rnacentral:rRNA from 1 species
AUUGAACGCUGGCGGCAGGCCUAACACAUGCAAGUCGAACGAGUGGCGGACGGGUGAGUAAUGUCUGGGAAACUGCCUGAUGGAGGGGGAUAACUACUGGAAACGGUAGCUAAUACCGCAUACCAUCGGAUGUGCCCAGAUGGGAUUAGCUUGUAGGUGGGGUAAAGCGUCACCAAGGCGACGAUCCCUAGCUGGUCUGAGAGGAUGACCAGCCACACUGGAACUGAGACACGGUCCAGACUCCUACGGGAGGCAGCAGUGGGGAAGAUUGCACAAUGGGCGCAAGCCUGAUGCAGCCAUGCCGCGUGUAUGAAGAAGUCCUUCGGGUUGUAAAGUACUUUCAGCGGGGAGGCGUUACCCGCAGAAGAAGCACCGGCUAACUCCGUGCCAGCCGCCGCGGUAAUUC